CAGCCCCCCAGGCUGUGGGGCAGCAUGGCCAUGGCCAACGCUCCUCAAAAUAUCCUCACCCGUGGGAAAGAGCCGACAACCCCUGCGGGAUGCUUCAACCCUGCAGGCUCUCCACCAGCCCCAGUGGGCUUGCUGCUCACAAGGGGGUGCCCCCCAGUAGUGUCUGUGCUUCCCCAAGAGCACAUGCUGCCAUACAGAUGCCAGGAGAAGCAGAUGUGGGCUCCAGGGUCAGCGUUGAAUCACUGUGGCAACCCGCCGGCACGGUGGGGACUGACCUUCGGUGUAAAAACAAAUAGCAAGGGAAAGCAGAGCUGCCAGGUGAGAAAUUCACUUCCGUCUCAUUGCCCCCACCCCUCUGCAACCCCAGCAGCCCCUGGGUCCUGUUUUAGCUCUCGCUCAAGCACCCUCAUCCCCUCCUCAGUGCAGGCACCACCGCUGUGCAUCCGGACCUGGCUACGUGCAGACCCCGUGUGCUGGAUGAGGCUGUGCUGGGCUGCGCCGUGCUGGGGAAGGGGCCAGCUGCACAGACCUCUUUUGGGACAUGGGAGCCAUCUGAGGUAGGGGGCAGAAUGCUUCGCAGCCCCCCGAGCUGCAACAGCCCCAAAUCUCUGCUUGCCUCUUUUGCUCUGUGGCGUGAGACUUGACUUUGCCCCUGCAAGGAUGUGCAGCUGUGAUGGUGACUGGGGGGUGUCUGCAAACGAAAAUCACCAACUGGGCACCAUCAAGGUGAUCUCUGCCCCCACCGGUGUAUGUCACCCUCACCCCUCCACCACCGCUACCCCAGGAACAGUCAACGCAGUGGGAAAACUUCUGGGUGAUGAACGGGAGGCUCAACUGCAGGCACUGGUGCUGCCUGAACUGCUGCGAUGGGGCAGCCAGGCUACGGGCCAUGCAACCAGGUGGCCAGGGAAGCUUCUGGGCUGGGAGAAGGCUGGAGGGUGAGCCACAAACGUUGUGGCCAGAUGAGGGGGGGGGAGACAUCACGGCAGCCCUGGGGGGAUUGCUGGCCACCUUGGCAGCUCCCAGGAUGGGGAGGCAGGCAGAUUUCCAGGUGGGAAUGAGGGGUGUAUUUUCUGAAGCAGCUGAACAAUGCCCACUGCAAGGGCUGGAGGGAUGAAAGAGGUCACGGAGCAUCGUUGCUGGAGGUGAGGUGAUGCCAGGAUGCAGCCUGCACCCAGCAUCUCUGGGUCUUUGGGCAGAGACACGGGGCACUGCAACCCCUGGGGAGAAAGGCUGGGUUUCCAGCUCUGCCCAGCUGCUCCCCCACAGUGGGACCCUGGUGGGGAGGGUAACGCGGGGGGGCUCUGCAGGCCAGGAGCGCCCCAGCUGCAGCCUCACAUAUUAUGUGAGGCUGCAAAAAAAGGGGAAGAGUGGGGAAAUUUGGAUACGGAUUAAAAAAAAAAAUAAAAUAAAGGGGGGGGGAUUACA
rnacentral:lncRNA from 1 species